AGUAUAAAAAUCAUAUAUGUUUUUAAAAUACAUUCGUAAACUUAGAAGCAUGCGUUGCAGCAUAGACUUUUAAAAUUUUAUAACAGGUUCGCUACUAAAUUAUAAUUUUUUGUUCAUCAUGUCCGAGAAUGAAGGAAGUCUUACUAGAAGAAUUGCAUUUGUCAAUCCAAAUGAUUUGGACCUAACCGAUUGCUGCCGAAUCUGCAAAUGUAGAGCAACUGUGGAAAAUGGAAUCAAAUUGCGUCCACUUUUUAAUGGCCGUCGUUUAACACGCAUUAUAGCCAAUACGGUACACAUCGAGAUUAAAGAUGUUCAGGGCUUGCCACGUUUUCUUUGCGAGAAGUGUUUGACCAUUUUGAAAACCUUUUCCAUUUUUCAAGUGGAUUUCCGACGUUCCGAAGAGGAAUUUAAGAUGGCAAUCGAGGCACGCAGGACUUAUCAGAUGGACACCUUAAUUGAAUUUUCCACUGCCAUCGAAAUGGAAAAGCAAAGGGAAAACGAUCAAAAAAACGCGGCACUUGUUACAAAUUUCCUUAAGAAGGCGAAGAAGACUAGCAAAUCGAAAUCGAAACUUCAAAAUUGAGUAUUGAGCAACUAGUUAAUUUGUUUGGCAUUAGUUUUUAUGUAUUUAAUUUUUUUUUGAUUUUACAAACACUUGUCAUUUUCAAUUUUUAAUACACAAUUUUUCAAUAAAUUCAACAGCUAGGUUUGAAA